rnacentral:rRNA from 1 species
AAGCAUAUAAGUAAGUGGAGGAAAAGAUACUAAACAGGAUUCUUCCAGUAAUGGCGAAUGAAGCGGGAAGAGCUCAGUUUGGAAUUUGGGUCCCUGGCUCAGAGUUGUAGUCUUGUGAUGCGAUACCAGCGGGGGUGUGGAUGUAGGCCUUCUGGAGGGAAGUACGCUCAAGGGUGAGAGUCCCGUCUGUCAUCUGUGGUCCUCUGUGCACAGUUCGUCCUCGCCGAGUCACGCUCCUUGAAAGUGGAGCGCAAAGGUGGUGGUAAACUUCAUCUCAAGCUAAAGACAGGUGUGAGCCCGAUAGGAAACAAGUACCAUGAGGGAAAGGUGAAAAGGACUUUGGAAAGAGAGUUUAAAGUGCCUGAAAUUGCUGAGAAGGAAGUGAAUGGAGCUAGUGAUUCUAGGGUUGAAUCUUCUUGCGUGUUCCUGUGACCGCGUUGCUGCAGCAAUGCAAAGGCUGCAGUGCUGGUGAGCAUCAAGGGCGCAGUGUCUUCGGCCCUGUCUGCCUGUGCCAGUUUGCUGGGAGGGAAGACUGUGGGGGUAUGGUGGUUUGUCUCUGGGCGGAUGAAAGUGCCCUGUGGAG